UGGGUUAAGUCCCGCAACGAGCGCAACCCUAGCCUUUAGUUGCCAUCAUUAAGUUGGGCACUCUAGAGGGACUGCCGGUGAUAAGCCGGAGGAAGGUGGGGAUGACGUCAAGUCCUCAUGGCCCUUACGGGUUGGGCUACACACGUGCUACAAUGGCGGCGACAAUGGGCAGCGAAGGGGCGACCCGGUGCAAAUCCCAAAAAGCCGCCUCAGUUCGGAUUGUACUCUGCAACUCGAGUGCAUGAAGGUGGAAUCGCUAGUAAUCGCGUAACAGCAUGACGCGGUGAAUACGUUCCCGGGCCUUGUACACACCGCCCGUCACACCAUGGGAGUUGGUUUUACCCGAAGCCGGUGCGCUAACCGCAAGGAGGCAGCCGACCACGGUAAGGUCAGCGACUGGGGUGAAGUCGUAACAAGGUAGC
rnacentral:rRNA from 1 species